GAUGAACGCUGGCGGCGUGCCUAAUACAUGCAAGUCGAGCGAACGGACGAGAAGCUUGCUUUUCUGAUGUUAGCGGCGGACGGGUGAGUAACACGUGGAUAACCUACCUAUAAGACUGGGAUAACUUCGGGAAACCGGAGCUAAUACCGGAUAAUAUUUUGAACCGCAUGGUUCAAAAGUGAAAGACGGUCUUGCUGUCACUUAUAGAUGGAUCCGCGCUGCAUUAGCUAGUUGGUAAGGUAACGGCUUACCAAGGCAACGAUGCAUAGCCGACCUGAGAGGGUGAUCGGCCACACUGGAACUGAGACACGGUCCAGACUCCUACGGGAGGCAGCAGUAGGGAAUCUUCCGCAAUGGGCGAAAGCCUGACGGAGCAACGCCGCGUGAGUGAUGAAGGUCUUCGGAUCGUAAAACUCUGUUAUUAGGGAAGAACAUAUGUGUAAGUAACUGUGCACAUCUUGACGGUACCUAAUCAGAAAGCCACGGCUAACUAC
rnacentral:rRNA from 1 species